GUGGAGAAUGCUGAACAAAUUGGUGCAUGCAGGGAAUAUGGAGAGAAGCAGAUGGGAAAUAUGAAAAGCGUGCAAUAGCAGUGCACUGACGAUCAAU